AGUGAAAGCUGGCGGUAGGCCUAACACCUGUAACUCGAAUGGCCGCACAGUCCGAGUUUGCUCUUAUGGGAGGCGAGUCGCGGCCGGGUGCGGAAACCAACACACUCUACUUCUUCGACGAGGACAACGACGGGCAACUUACGCUAGUACAUCAUACGACCAACGGGUGAAGCAUGGGGCUCUUCGGACUUUGCGCGAUUCAUUGACCCGAUGUCGGAUUAACCAGUUGGCGGAGUAAAGGGCCACCAAGGCGACGAUCCGUAGCCGGUCUGUGAGGAUGAUCAGACACACUGGGACUGAGAGACAGACCAGACGCCUACGGGAGGCAGCUGUGGGGAAGAUUGGACAAUGGGCGCAAGCCUGAUCCAGCCAUACCGCGUGGGAGAAGAAGACCUUCGGGUUGUAAAGCCCUUUUGUUGGGAAAGAAAAGCAGCAGGUUAAUACCCCGCUGUUCUGACGGUACCCAAAGAAUAAGCGCCGGCUAACUUCGUG
rnacentral:rRNA from 1 species